AAGCCAAGUGAAACGAAGGUGUCUUCCAUCCUGGCCUUGCUCCAGUCAGGGCAGGGUGUAACUGGAUCCCAGGCCCUGACCAAGACAGCGCUGAGCCCUCUGCAGGCUGGGGAAACGGCAAGAAAGAUUCACAGACAAAGAAACAGUGUCACCUAGUGGCGAUUUGUCAGUUUCUGAGCCAUGUUGUAAUGCAACUGUGCUGCUUUUCUGUGCCCUGAUUUUCCAAGACAAUUAAUAUUUCAGAAUGUUUUUCUCUUCUCUGACUUCCCAACGCUCAAGAAUCUUCAAGUCGGAUGCCAUCCAAUAGCCCCCUUGCCUGACACGUUCUUCAGACACUUCUUAUGCGAGACUUUCCAACAAAGACGCAGCAACCAUCUGCCUCAAGGACCAUGUCUGUUCUGGCUGUAUUGACCUCUGCGUGUCUUGCUUCAAGUUUUCAGCAAAAUAAUACUUUCAUGUGUGACUUCAGGUCUUUUACCAAAUAGUAGUCAAAUCAAGGCUGUGUGUGUGUGUGUGUGUGUGUGUGUGUGUGUGUGUGUGUGUCCAGGGUCUAGAUUCUGCUGUCAUUCAGAUGCUGGGCCAGGAAAGACUGCUCUUUCCUACCUAUCCCUGAGUCGGGACCCAUGUCAGUCUCUGAAAUUAGUUUAGCAUUGCCCAGGACAGCACUGUGAACACGCAUGUGAAUGCUUCUCGGGCAAGCAUAUAACUCAGUUUUCUUGCUCGCAAACAUUUGCCAGUCUCGCUAUAUUUGAGAGGACAGACCUGUUUCUAUCUCCAGACCCUAACUUUGGUGAUAGGAAAACAAAAUAAGGAAUGGUCCUGUUUGCAAAAGGCCCUGCUAUUGGUGAGCACAAAGAACAGUGGGAAAUCCCUUCUCUGAAGCUAGACAAAGAUCACCCAAAAAGGAGACAAUCGAUUUAAUUUUGGAAGGUUGAGAGGCCCUUAUUUUUUUCUGUUUUGCUUUUAAGUGGUUGCAACAUCACAGGAUGAUGGAGGACAGAAAGCCCAGAGUCAAGAGCGUUCACCGAAAGAGAAUCACACAGGACCGUCCUCAGAGUCAACCUGCUGCCGUCUUCGUGAGUACCUGCAUUUCUCAUAGAGCUGAAAGCUAAACUCCUCUGAUACGAUGCAUCGGCUGACGCCAUUGCCGUGGUAUUUUACUUUGAGGCUAGAAUUCCAUUCAUCAAAUGAACACCCAGUGGGGUCAGAUGCAAGAUGGGCUGUCACGACUCCGAAGCUGCCAGACCACAGAGUGUAAGAAAAUUAGCACAGGUUCUCCUGUGCCCUGCUGGUGUCAGCCGGCACACUAGAAUGUGUCAUUACUAAACUCUCCUAGAAAUGAGGCCGCCAGGGCUGACCAUACGAGCUGGAAAUGCCCUGAGGCCUGGCUGAUGUCUCUCACUUCCUACUUUCCUACAGUCACCUCCGCUCUCACUCUGCCCUUCUCAGAACUGUCUACAGAGACUGUGCAGCUUGCAGAAUCCUGGAUUAUAGAAACAUUUCUGGAACCGCUGGAUCGCCUCUGUCAUUGUAAAUAAAGUCAGUGACCAAGA